GCGGGUGUAGCUUAGUGGUAAAGCCCUGGCCUUCCAAGCCAGUCACGUGAGUUCGAUUCUCAUCACCCGCU
rnacentral:tRNA from 2 species